CCUCUACACUUUAUUUGUGUCUAAUAUUGGCCAUUUGCUAUUUCUGAAUUCAAGAAGUUCGAGUAUCUGCUUUUUGCAUCAGCUGCUACUUAACAAACUCCAGAUUUCUACAGAAAACCCUUCAAAAAUCAGUGGUAUUACGUUUCCGUAAGGAGGCCAGAUGAGACUGAAUCCACUGGGG
rnacentral:lncRNA from 1 species